UAUUGCAAAUAAUUAUGGUACGCACAUGAGUGUGUAAACAUUUAUUCAAGUUUUACUUUUAUUUCUUAUAUAGCCAGAAUUGUGAUUUGUGGAUCAUGCUCUAAUUAAUUUUUUUUGGAGAAGCCACCUGUAUUAGUCUAGUCUCACUCUGCUAAUAAACAUGUACCCAAGACUGUUAAUUUAUAAAGAAAAGAGGUUUAAUUGACUCACAGUUCUGCAGGGCUAGGGAGGCCUCAGGAAACUUACAAUCAUAGCAGAAGGGGAAGCCAACAUGUCUUCUUCACAUGGUAGUUGGAAGGAGAAGUGCAGA